rnacentral:rRNA from 1 species
UACGUGAGGGGCGAACGUUGUUCGGUGUCACUGGGCUUAAAGGGCGCGUAGGUGGCUGUGCAAGUAAGGUGUGAAAGCCCUCGGCUUACCCGGGGAAUUGCGCCUUAAACUGCAUGGCUUGAGGGUCUCAGGGGAUAGGGGAACUCCAGGUGUAGCGGUGAAAUGCGCAGAUAUCUGGGAGAAGGCCGGUGGCGAAGGCGCCUAUCUGGGAGAUUCCUGACACUGAGGCGCGAAAGCGUGGGGAGCAAACAGG